GACGCUGAGUCAUACUGCUCGUUUCACUCGGGUUUUCUCGUCUCGGAAGGCGACCUCAACCAAUGGCUGACAACUAAAUUUUCUCGCGAGAACAGCCCGACUUGUGACUGGUCGCUGGUUAAGAUAUCUGGUCCUGGAGAUGACACAGUGGCAGUAAUCAAUGCAGACGACUCUUCCUACAAUCUCUAUACCGUCGCAGACUCAAUUGGAAACAAUUUCUAUUCUGACCAUUUCGAUACAGCUUACUGUGUAAGUUCCGCAACGGAUUCGCCCUUCGCUUGAAAGGAAAAUAUGAACCGGACAAACUGCCCGCGGCCAAGAUAACCCGGAAACAGCUGGAGCGAUAACAUUGAGCUUAUUAGUUCACGCGGCCUUUUGGUUUUCUGUGAUUGCAUCAUUAAUUGGCUUUGGUUUGCGCUACAAGCAGCUAUUUUUUUUAAAAAAGUGCCAUUGUAGUUAUUGCCACGCAAAUAUUUGGCCUCUCUCAAAAGCCAUGUUCCUGGAAAUCACAUAAACAUCUUGGCGAAAGAAGCGCUAUAUUUAAAGUUAUUCAAAAAGUUUCAUCUGCCUUAUUUUUUCUUAUUUCAACAUGUGUAGCUAUU